rnacentral:rRNA from 1 species
AUUAUACAGCGAAACUGCGAAUGGCUCAUUAAAUCAGUUAUCGUUUACUUUGAUAGUGCCCAUCUACAUGGAUAACCGUGGUAAUUCUCGAGCUAAUACAUGCGUAAAAGCGCGACUUCGGGAGCGCUGUAUUUAUUAGAUUAAAGACCAAUGCCCUCCGGGGCUCACUGGUGAUUCAUGAUAACUCCUCUGAUCGCACGGCCUUGCGCCGGCGACGGCUCAUUCAAAUUUCUGCCCUAUCAACUUUCGACUUUAGUGUAGUGGACUAAAGUGGUUGCAACGGGUAACGGAGGGUUAGGGCUCGACCCCGGAGAAGGAGCCUGAGAAACGGCUACUACAUCCAAGGAAGGCAGCAGGCGCGCAAAUUACCCAAUCCCGACACGGGGAGGUAGUGACAAUAAAUACUGAUACAGGGCUCUUUCGGGUCUUGUAAUCGGAAUGAGUACAAUCUAAAUCCUUUAACGAGGAGCAAUUGGAGGGCAAGUCUGGUGCCAGCAGCCGCGGUAAUUCCAGCUCCAAUAGCGUAUAUUAAAGUUGUUGUGGUUAAAAAGCUCGUAGUUGAACCUGGGCCCCGUCCCGGCCGGUCCGCCUCACCGCGUGCACUGGUUCGGGAGGGGCUUCGCACCUUGGGGGUACGCAUGCCCUUCGCUGGGCGUGCGGGGAACCAGGACUUUUACUGUGAAAAAAUUAGAGUGUUCAAAGCAGGCCUAUGCUCGAAUACAUUAGCAUGGAAUAAUAAAAUAGGACGUGCGGUUCUAUUUUGUUGGUUAUGGGACCGCCGUAAUGAUUAAUAGGGACAGUCGGGGGCGUCAGUAUUCGGUGGUCAGAGGUGAAAUUCUUGGACCCACCGAAGACUAACUACUGCGAAAGCAUUCGCCAAGGAUGUUUUCAUUAAUCAGGAACGAAAGUUAGGGGAUCGAAAACGAUCAGAUACCGUUGUAGUCUUAACCAUAAACUAUGCCGACUAGGGAUCGGGCGAUGUUGCUUACUGACUCGCUCGGCACCUUUCGAGAAAUCAAAGUCUGUG